AUAUUACUUCAGCAAUACAUAUACUAAAAUUGGUACAAUACAGAGAAGAUUAGCGUGGCCCCUGCACAAGGAUGACACUGAAAUUUCUUGAAGUGUUGCAUAUUUUU
rfam:Octopus bimaculoides Scaffold27793_contig_169, whole genome shotgun sequence.